rnacentral:rRNA from 1 species
UAAGGUUUAACCUGCCCACUGAAUAAUUUAAAUGGCCGCAGUAUUUUAACUGUGCAAAGGUAGCAUAAUCAUUAGUUUUUUAAUUAAAAGCUUGAAUGAAAGGUUGGACGAGGUAAAAACUGUCUUUAUUUAAUUAAUUAUAAAACUUAAUUUUUAAGUUAAAAAGCUUAAAUUUUUUUAAAAGACGAGAAGACCCUAUAGAUCUUUAUAUUUAUUAUUUUAUUUUUAAUUAAGAUUUAUUUAAAUUUUAUUUUAUUAAAUAUUUUAUUGGGGUAAUAAGAAGAUUAAAAAAAUUCUUUUAUAUAUUAUUCAUUGAUUAAUGUUUUAAUGAUCCAAUUUUAUUGAUUAUAAGAUUAAGUUACCUUAGGGAUAACAGCGUAAUUUUUUUAGAGAGUUCAUAUCGAUAAUAAAGUUUGCGACCUCGAUGUUGGAUUAAAGAUUAAUUUAGGUGUAGAUGUUUAAAUUUUUGGUCUGUUCGACCAUUAAAUCUUUACAUGAUCUGAGUUCAGACCGGUGUAAGCCAGGUCGGUUUCUAUCUUUAAUAAAAUAAUAUAUUUUAGUACGAAAGGACCAAAUAUAUAAUAUAUAAAUAUUUAUUAAUUUUUGAAUAUUAUUAAUUACUUUGGCAGAUUAGUGCAAUGAAUUUAGAAUUCAUAUAUGUAAAUUUUUACAAGUAAUACUUGUUUUAUAUAGAUGUAAUAUUUUCUUUUAUUUGUAUAUUAUUAUUAGUUAUUUG